UGGUGAUGCAUGACACUGGAGGACCUGA
rnacentral:piRNA from 1 species